rnacentral:lncRNA from 1 species
CUAAAGAGCAAGAUAAUUUCAAGAAAGAGAAAGAAGAAGCUGCUUACCGGAAAGAGAGAGCUGAAGUCUUGUUUCUGAAUCAAGUUAUUGAGCUGCUCUCUCGAGCUGAUGCUGCACGAGAUUAUGAGGAAGUGAGAAGCCAGUACUUCCAGAGAGUUAGCAUUAUAGAAGGAUAUGACCCUAAAGAAGAAUACAUUCAACCAUUUAAACCUUUAUUUUGUUGUAUAAGUGGAACGAUAAUGGUAGAUCCUGUAAGCCUAUGCACCGGUACUGCCUGUGAGAGAGCGUCUCUUCAAGCUUGGUUCAGCUCGGGGGAGAAACUGAUCCCGAAACAGGUGAAGAACUGCAGAAUUUAUCCUUCAGGCCAAAUCUUCAAUUGAGGCACUUAAUCGAGGAGUGGAAAGAGCUCAACUAUUGCAUCAAAAUCAGGGCUUGCAAGGGGAAAUUGCUUUCUGAGGUCGAUGCAUUGAUGCUGCACGAGAUUAUGAGGAAGUCAGAAGCCAGUACUUCCAGAGAGUUAGCAUUAUAGAAGGAUAUGACCCUAAAGAAGAAUACAUUCAACCAUUUAAACCUUUAUUUUGUUGUAUAAGUGGAACGAUAAUGGUAGAUCCUGUAAGCCUAUGCACCGGUACUGCCUGUGAGAGAGCGUCUCUUCAAGCUUGGUUCAGCUCGGGGGAGAAACUGAUCCCGAA